rnacentral:rRNA from 1 species
CCUACGGGGGGCAGCAGUGAGGAAUUUUCCGCAAUGGGCGCAAGCCUGACGGAGCAAUACCGCGUGAGGGAUGACGGCCUUUGGGUUGUAAACCUCUUUUUUCAAGGAGGAAGUUCUGACGUGUACUUGAAGAAUAAGCAUCGGCUAACUCCGUGCCAGCAGCCGCGGUAAGACGGAGGAUGCAAGUGUUAUCCGGAAUUAUUGGGCGUAAAGCGUCUGUAGGUUGCCUAACAAGUCUGUUGUUAAAGGUUAAAGCUUAACUUUAAAACUGCAGCAGAAACUGCUAGGCUUGAGUACAGUCGAAGUAGAGGGAAUUUCCAGUGAAGCGGUGAAAUGCGUAGAUAUUGGAAGGAACACCAAUGGCGAAAGCACUCUACUAGACUUUUACUGACACUCAGAGACGAAAGCUAGGGUAGCAAAUGGGAUUAGAUACCCUGGUA